AAAUGACGGUACCUGACUAAGAAGCCCCGGCUAACUACGUGCCAGCAGCCGCGGUAAUACGUAGGGGGCAAGCGUUAUCCGGAUUUACUGGGUGUAAAGGGAGCGUAGACGGUUUGGCAAGUCAGAUGUGAAAGCCCAGGGCUCAACCCUGGGACUGCAUUUGAAACUGUUAAACUAGAGUGCAGGAGAGGUAAGUGGAAUUCCUAGUGUAGCGGUGAAAUGCGUAGAUAUUAGGAGGAACACCAGUGGCGAAGGCGACUUACUGGACUGUAACUGACGUUGAGGCUCGAAAGCGUGGGGAGCAAACAGGAUUAGAUACCCUGGUAGUCCACGCCGUAAACGAUGAUUACUAGGUGUCGGGGGCUUAUAAGCCUUCGGUGCCGUCGCUAACGCAAUAAGUAAUCCACCUGGGGAGUACGUUCGCAAGAAUGAAACUCA
rnacentral:rRNA from 1 species